GAAACAAUGAACUACAUCAGCGGAUAUUAAAAGCAGCCGGAAGUGGGUUCGCGGGCGCGGGUGCACGCACACGGUUCUCAAACAUUCGUGUGCCUCAGAUUUACUCGUAGGGCUUGUUGGACUACCCAGCUUCUGACUCACGAGGUUUGGCAGACAGCCCCACAACUUGCAUUUCUCAAACAAGAUCCCAGGUCACACUAACACUGCAGCCCAAGACCACACUUGGCGGACCAGUGCGCUCAAUGAUGGAAGAGCCAAUGUAUGACUAACUUCUCACGAGUUUUUGCCUCCCCAGUGUUCUUGAAGCCAAUGCAUGCCGGUGUGGAUAGUAAGCAGAAGACUCGAGCACGGUAGAAAUCCAGAUGAAUUAAGAUGCACGUAUUUUUUAACCUUUCCUCCAGCGAGGAGUACAUCAGUUCCUACAAGUUGAACUGCAACAUAAAGUAAAUAGAUCUGCUCCGAGAAAAGGGGCACUUCACUCAAGGCAGGCUAUCCGGGAUCAAAGAGACUCCAUUCCAGAACUUGUGUCCAAACUAGCAGAAGAGAGAAGCCCUCUUGCUGUUGAUGCCAGGGGGAUGCAACAUUGGAGCUCCUGGUAGCAGGCACGUGGGAGAAUAUGCCUGACAACAGGGCUGGUGCUGAGGAAGUGAGGCCAAGAGAAAAAGAAAAGAAAUGAAAAAGAGAUGAAAGAAAAAAGUAAAAGAAAGAAAGAAAGAAAAUGGAAUAGAUGGACUGGCGAAUAGACUGAAAUAUGACUGAAAUUACUUUGUUUUCCCCUAGAAGUCAAACUAUGAAGCGCUUUAUAGUCCAUAAACUAAGCAGGUGGAGAGACUUGUGUUCCUGAAGAGCGAGGUUGGCCUCGUUCGGCGGGGCUUAGUGUAACGGCUCCGCUCUCCACUAGAUGGCGCUGCUAGCCUACUGGGGUGGAUUGUUGCCGCGCUUGUAGGUGCGUCUGCGUAUGCGCGGGAUCGGUGAAGAUGGCGUCAUCCAUCUACUGGGUGUCUAGUAUCCGGAACUCUGUUCUCCCUGAUCAGCGAUCGUGCACCCGUCCUUUGUCUUCGGCUUCCAUCCACUUCCUGCUUUUACACAGUCCGUGACCAAGUCCCAGGUAGCACCUCCCUCCUGAGUUUUGUCUCCAAUACGGCUGUUUUUCCCGACCUCUUACUUCUGAAGGACAACAGCUUUGACCCGUCCCACCCCUCUGUGCAGGGUCUUGCCCAGCAAUGGCCAGGUGCCGGCCGCACCCAGGAACGUUUGCGGGUCCCUGCUGCUACUGAAGCCCAGAGACUGUGACCAGGUGCCAGCUUGCUCCAGAAAAAGUUCGCGAGGUAGUGUAGCAGCAGCGUUUCAAGGAUUAUGGAAAAUCACAACACACAUCUGGCUCCAGGCAUCACCCUUAAUGACCUUGUUCCAGCACCAGCGAAUGUGGUCGUUCUCCUGGGUCCAUUGGGGCCUUGCCUUUGGGAGACCCACACAGCCUCUACCAGGUAUCCUCCCAGCAGGUGAACUGCCUCUCCCCAUGUGGCCUGAAGAACCCUGGACUCCACUCUGCUCCUGGGGAUUCGCCCUUCCCACGAGAGCACCGCCAGGUAGAAGAUGAUGCUGGCUUCAGUUUGCAGCAGGAAAUUGCUUGACUGGAGUACCUUCUGAUGGCAAGCUCAUUUCACAGACGUUUGUAGAGAAGGUAAGUUUUGAUGCCGGUGCUAGUUAAAGCAAUAGUCCAAACUGAUUUCCAAUUAUUCUUGUCCAAAUGGGAAUAUUCAAGGACUGGGAUUUCCUUAUAAAAAUUGUAACUCUAGAAAAGUCACAUUAAAAAAAAAACAACACAACAUGACUUAAGGCUAUCUACAAAAGCCAGCGCUGUAAAUUCCAUAUUGCUCUGGACUUGGGGAAAUAAGCAGAUGGAAUAUAUUGGAAGGGUGGAGGGCACAGAUGUCUUCUUGGCUUGUGUUCAGAGUCAAAGAAGAAGCCCGUUUUGUAGCUGAGUCUGGGAUAGGAAAGAUCCAGAUACAUGAGGUCUAAAAAAACAAGUGCACAAGGUUUAAUGAACUAUUUUUCAAACAAUUAAUACAAUAUUUAAGCAACAACUUAUCGUUUGGGAAUGUGCUCUUCCAAUUGAUUCAAACAUGUGUUUUGUGUGGGAAAAGCUUUUCAAUGGUAGUUGAGCUACAUAAGGUGUCCUUAGACCUACUAACAGUUGCCCAAAGAAAAUUCACCCUCUUGACACUCCAAGCCCUUUGUUCAUUACAAACAUUGUGUCCAUGAUGUUCAGCAAACUGGGAAUGGAUGUCGACUGUGUUGACCUUUCCUUUAAAAGUCAAAAAUUAAAAUCAGCUGCUAUUCUCUGUUUAGGGGCUAUAUUCUUAAAGGAGAAGCCAUGGAAAAUAAUUGACUUCCAUUGUUUAGAUUGUGUUUAAAAUUGAUGCAUAAUUAUUGUAGAGAAUGCAAGAAAAUACAGACAAGAAGAAAAAGUUCCAAUCAUCAGAAAUUCUACCAGUAAACAAAACUAACGUU